UACGAAGGGGGCUAGCGUUGUUCGGAAUUACUGGGCGUAAAGCGCACGUAGGCGGACUAUUAAGUCAGGGGUGAAAUCCCGGGGCUCAACCCCGGAACUGCCUUUGAUACUGGUAGUCUCGAGUCCGGAAGAGGUGAGUGGAAUUCCGAGUGUAGAGGUGAAAUUCGUAGAUAUUCGGAGGAACACCAGUGGCGAAGGCGGCUCACGUGGUCCGGUACUGACGCUGAGGUGCGAAAGCGUGGGGAGCAAACAGG
rnacentral:rRNA from 1 species